GUUGGCUCCUACCAGGUAGUUUGGAUCUCCGGGGAGAGAUUUGUUCUGCCAAUUCUUGGGGUCACCUGGAAGGAGGGAGAGAGACAGGCACAAGAAUAGAAAAAGAAAAGGAAACCUUUCUACCUGAUUUUGGAGCAUUGCUGGAUUUGAGGAUUUGAUUACAUUAAGGAACAAGAGCAUCAGUAAGAUGGAGACAAUUUGGAGCCCAGAAGGACUACAAGACGGAUGCUGAUCUGGGUAACUGUAUGGAGGGCAGGGCAAGUAGCUACCCACCCAUAAGCAUCUCUCCCCACAGGGAGAAUUCGCCCUCUAGCCCAGCCAUUACAUCACGCUCAUUUGUGUUCAUUGUCCGCAAUCUGGCAACCCAUGUGAGGACUAAAUAGGACUGCGGUUGGACUUUUACUUGCGUGUUCUUAUUUAGUACAUUUUGUUCCUUCACAUUUAAGCAGUAUUAUUAUUAUUAUUAUUAUUAUUAUUAUAAGAUCACUUACUUCUUAGCACCUUCCAUUUGUGAACAUCUGAGCUUAAUCAAAUUCUAACCCCAAAUUCAAAUGUACAAAAUUUCAUCCUGUCAACUCAAAGAGAACCCAAGCAGAUCUACACACCUUC